rnacentral:rRNA from 1 species
AACGAACGCUGGCGGCAUGCCUAACACAUGCAAGUCGAACGAUUGCCUUCGGGUGAUAGUGGCGCACGGGUGCGUAACGCGUGGGAAUCUGCCCUCCGGUUCGGGAUAACAGUUGGAAACGACUGCUAAUACCGGAUGAUAUCGAUAAGAUCAAAGAUUUAGCGCCAGGGGAUGAGCCCGCGUCCGAUUAGCUAGUUGGUGAGGUAAGAGCUCACCAAGGCGACGAUCGGUAGCUGGUCUGAGAGGAUGAUCAGCCACACUGGGACUGAGACACGGCCCAGACUCCUACGGGAGGCAGCAGUGGGGAAUAUUGGACAAUGGGCGCAAGCCUGAUCCAGCAAUGCCGCGUGAGUGAUGAAGGCCUUAGGGUUGUAAAGCUCUUUUACCCGGGAUGAUAAUGACAGUACCGGGAGAAUAAGCUCCGGCUAACUCCGUGCCAGCCGCCGCGGUAA